AAUAUUGCACAAUGGGCGCAGGCCUGAUGCAGCCAUGCCGCGUGUAUGAAGAAGGCGUUCGGGUCGUAAAGUACUUUCAGCGGGGAGGAAGGGAGUAAAGUUAAUACAUUUGCUCAUUGACGUUACCCGCAGAAGAAGCACCGGCUAACUCCGUGCCAGCAGCCGCGGUAAUACGGAGGGUGCAAGCGGUAAUCGGAAUUAGUGGGCGUAAAGCGCACGCAGGCGGUUUGUUAAGUCAGUUGUGAAAUCCCCGGGCUCAAUCCGGGAACUGCAUCUGAUACUGGCAAGCUUGAGUCGCGUCGAGGGGGGUAGAAUUUCAGGUGUAGCGGUGAAAUGCGUCGAGAUCUUGGGGAAUACCGGUGGCGAAGGCGGCCCCCUGGACGAAGUCUGACGCUCAGGUGC
rnacentral:rRNA from 1 species